UACGUAGGGACCAAGCGUUGUUCGGAUUUACUGGGCGUAAAGGGCGCGUAGGCGGCGUGGUAAGUCUGUUGUGAAAUCUCUGAGCUUAACUCAGAACGGCCAGGUGAUACUGCUGUGCUAGAGUGCAGAAGGGGCAAUCGGAAUUCUUGGUGUAGCGGUGAAAUGCGCAGAUAUCAGGAGGAACACCGAUGGCGAAGGCAGGUCUCUGGGCAUUAACUGACGCUGAGGAGCGAAAGCGUGGGGAGCGAACAGG
rnacentral:rRNA from 1 species